rnacentral:rRNA from 1 species
AUGCUGUUUUGGGGAGAUUACAGUUUCUUACCCUGUGAUGAAGAACUACACUAUUUUAGGCUAGAUGAGCUGCUAAUUCAGGCUAUCCAGAGUAAGGCACAGGCGCUGACUAUUGGUUGCCAGCUCGCCACUGCCUCGUGGAAGACUGCAACUGAGCUUUCUCCCUCUGGUCUGCUGAGAGUGAAGAGGAGGACAACGUGGGCGGAGCUAGUGGAUGGUUGGUUACUUGCUGACAAGGUUAAUACUAAUGUUCUUGCUCAUAUUUGGAUAGAAUUGGAAAACCCACAAUCUUGUACAUUGCCAAACAGCCCAACACUAUGA